CCCAGGUCUGCUGAUAGGGUCUGGCUGUGCUCUCUACCCGCUGGGCUGGGACAGUGAGGAGGUCCGACAGACCUGCAACAACACCUCCGACCAGUUUGAACUGGGUUCCUGUGAGAUUGGCUGGGCCUACUACUGUACGGGUGCUGGGGCCGCUGCUGCAAUGCUGCUGUGUACCUGGAUGGCCUGUUUCUCAGGGAAGAAACAGAAGCAGUACCCCUACUAGAUGAACCAGCUGGGGGAGGAGGAGGAGAGGAGGGGGUACCUCUACUAGAUGAACCAGUUGGGGGAGGAGGAGGAGAGGAGGGGGUACCCCUACUAGAUGAACCAGUUGGGGGAGGAGGAGGAGGAGAGGAGGGGUACCUCUACUAGAUGAACCAGCUGGGGGAGGAGAGGAGAAGGGGUAGCCCUACUAGAUGAACUAGCUGGUGGAGGAGAAGGGGUAGCCCUACUAGAUGAACUAGCUGGGGGAGGGAGGAGGAGAAGGAGUGGCCCUACUAGAUGAACCAGCUGGGGGAGUAGAGGAGAAGGGGUAGCCCUUCUCCUCCUCCUGAGAUGCGAAGGAGCACCUUUCUAGAAGAACAUCCCAAAUGGCACCCGAUUCCCUAUAGAGUGUGUUACUUUUGACCAGAGCCCUAUGGCCACUGGGGGAUAAUACUGCACUAUAAAGGGAAUAGAGUGGCAUUUGGAAGGCAGCCUAGAGGAGCCACUUGGUGGGAGGAAAGAGAAGAGACAGGCCUACAGACUACUACAGACUAUGACAGACUACUACAGGCUACUACAGACUAUUACAGGCCUACAGCCUACUACAGACUACUACAGGCUACUACAGACUAUUACAGGCUACCACAGACUAUUACAGGCUACUACAGGCUACUACAGACUAUUACAGACUAUUACAGGCUACUACACAACCGGUAAAACGUUUUAGAACACCUACUCAUUCUAAGGUUUUUCUUUAUUUUUACUAUUUUCUACAUUGUAGAAUAAUAGUGAAGACAUAACACAUAUGGAAUCAUGUAGUAACCAAAAAAGUGUUAAACAAAUCACAAUAUAUUUUAUAUUUGAGAUUCUUCAAAUAGCCACCCCUUGCCUUGAUGGCAGUUUUGCACACGCUUGGUAUUCUCUCAACCAGCUUCACCUGGAAUGCUUUUCUAACAGUCUUGAAAGAGUUCCCACAUAUGCUGAGCACUUGUUGGCUGAUUUUCCUUCACUCUGAGGUCCAACUCAUCCCAAACCAUCUCAAUUUGUUUGAGGUCGAGGGAUUGUGGAGGCCAGGUUAUCUGAUGCAGUACUCCAUCACUCUCCUUCUUGGUCAAAUAGCCCUUACACAGCCUGGAGGUGUGGAGGGGGUCAUUGUCCUGUUGAAAAACAACUGAUAGUCCCACUAAGCCCAAACCAGAUGGGAUGGCGUAUCGCUGCAGAAUGCUGUGGUAGCCAUGCUGGUUAAGUGUGCCUUGAAUUCUAAAUGAAUCACAGACAGUGUCACCAGCAAAGCACCAUCACACCUCCUCCUCCAUGCUUCACAGUGGGAACCAAACAAGCAGAGAUCAUCCAUUCACCUACUCUGCCUCUCACAAAGAAACGGUGGUUGGAACCAAAAAUCUCAAAUUUGGACUCAUCAGACCAAAGGACAAAUUUCCACCGGUCAAAUGUUCAUUGCUUGUGUUUCUUGGCCCAAGCAAAUCUCUUCUUAUUGGUGUCCUUUAGCAGUGGUUUCUUUGCAGCAAUUCGACCAUGAAGACUUGAUUCACACAGUCUCCUAUGAACAGUUGAUGUUGAGAUGUGUCUGUUACUUGAACUCUGUGAAGCAUUUAUUUGGGCCGCAAUUUCUGAGGCUAGUAACUCUAGUGGACUUACCUUCUGUAGCAGAGGUAGCUCUGGGUCUUCCAUUCCUGUGGCAGUCCUCAUGAGAGCCAGAUUCAUCAUAGCACUUCAUGGUUGAAGAAACUUUGAAAGUUCUUGAAAUGUUCUGUAUUGACUCACCUUCAUGUCUUAAAACCUCUCUAGGGUAUGUGGGACGCUACCGUCCCACCUGGCCAACAUAUGGUGAAAGAGCGCCAAAUUCAAAAACAGAAAUAAUAAAAAUUCAUAAAACAUAUAAGUGUUGUACAUCGGGUUUAAAGAUGAAUUUAAAUUUAAUUUUAAUCUUGUUAAUCCAACCAGAUUUAAAAAAGGCUUUGCAGUGAAAGCAUACCAUGCGAUUAUCUGAGGACAGCGCAGUUACCAGCCAAGUAGAGAAGUAACAAAAGUCAGAAAUAGUGAUAAAAUGAAUCACUUACCUUUGAUGAUCUUCAUAUGGUUGCAUUCACAAGACUCCCAGAUACACAACAAAUGUUUGUUUUGUUCUAUGAAGUCCAUCUUUAUAUCCAAAAACCUCAGUAAUCCAUUGGUUCAAAGUCAGUCACAACAAGCAGACGAAAAAUCUAAAAAGUAUCAGUAAAGUUCAUAGAAACAUGUCAAAUGAUGUUGAUAAUCAACCCUCGGGUUGUUUUUAGUCAUAAUAAUCAAUAAUAUUUCAACCGGACCAUAGCUUCGUCAAUAUAAAAGAAAAACAAGAAGGGCGCGCUCUCGAUCGGCUCAGCAGCUCUGGGGACUUCCCAGGGUCCACUCACUCAGAGAUGUCUUACUCCCUCAUUUUUCAGAAUACAAGCCUGAAACCAUUUCUAAAGACUGUUGACAUCUAGUGGAUGCCAAAGGAAUUGCAAUCUGAGUCCUAAGUCAUUGGAUACUGUCAAUGGAAAACUGCAAACAUAAAAAAAUCCCACUUCCUGGAUGGCUUUUCUCAGGUUUCUGCCUGCCAUAUCAGUUCUGUUUCAGUUCUGUUACACUCACAGACAUUAUUUUAACAGUUUUGGUAACUUUGGAGUGUUUUCUAUCCAAAUCGACCAAUUAGAUGCAUAUCCUAGCUUCUGGGUCUGAGUAACGGGCAGUUUACUUUGGGCACGCUUUUCAUCCGCAUGUCAAAAUACUGUCCCCUAUCCCAGAGAGGUUAAGGUAAUGAUGGAAUGUAUUUUCUCUUUGCUUAUUUGAGCUGUUCUUGCCAAUAAUAUGGACUUGGUAUUUUACCAAAUAGGGCUAUUGUCGAAAAACCACCCCUACCUUGUCACAACACAACUGAUUGGCUCAAACGCAUCAAGAAGGAAAGAAAUUCCACAAAUUAACUUUUAAGAAGGCACACCUGUUAAUUGAAAUGCAUUCCAGGUGACUACCUCAUGAAGCUGGUUGAGAGAAUGCCAAUAGUGUGCAAAGCUUUCAUCAAGGCAAAGGUUGGCCACUUUGAAGAAUCUCAAAUAUAAAAUAUAUGUUGAUUUGUUUAACACUUUUUUUGGUUACUACAUGACUCCAUAUGUGUUAUUUCAUAGUUUUGAUGUCUUCCCUAUUAUUCUACAAUGUAGAAAAUAGUAAAAAAUAAAGAGAAACCCUUGAAUGAGUUGGUGUGUCCAAACUUUUGACCAGUAGUGUACAGGCUACUACAGACUACUACAGGCUACUACAGACUAUUGCAGGUUACUACAGACUACUACAGGCUACUACAGACUACUACAGGCUACUACAGACUAUUGCAGACUACUACAGGCUACUACAGGCUACUACAGACUAUUACAGACUAUUACAGGCUACUACAGGCUACUACAGACUAUUACAGACAAUUACAGGCUACUACAGGCUACUACAGACUAUUACAGACUACUACAGGCUACUACAGGCUACUACAGGCUACUACAGACUACUACAGGCUACUACAGACUACUACAGGCUACUACAGACUACUACAGGCUACUACAGACUACUACAGGUUACUACAGACUACUACAGGCUACUACAGACUACUACAGGCUACUACAGACUACUACAGGCUACUACAGACUAUUACAGGCUACUACAGACUAUUACAGGCUACUACAGACUACUACAGGCUACUACAGACUACUACAGGCUACUACAGACUACUACAGGCUACUACAGACUACUACAUGCUACUACAGACGACUACAGGCUACUACAGACUACUACAGGUUACUACAGACUAUUACAGACUAUUACAGGCUACUACAGGCUACUACAGACUAUUACAGACAAUUACAGGCUACUACAGGCUACUACAGACUAUUACAGACUAUUACAGGCUACUACAGGCUACUACAGACUACUACAGACUAUUACAGGUUACUUCAGACUACUACAGACUACUACAGGCUACUACAGGCUACUACAGACUACUACAGACUACUACAGACUACUACAUGCUACUACAGGCUACUACAGAC